GGACAGAUAGCUCAGCGGUAGAGCAAGUCUCCGGGAUAGGCUAGGUCCCAGGUUCAAUCCCUGGUCCGUCCC
rfam:Moniliophthora perniciosa FA553 Contig15835, whole genome shotgun sequence.